rnacentral:rRNA from 1 species
GAUGAACGCUGGCGGCGUGCCUAAUACAUGCAAGUCGAGCGAACGGACGAGAAGCUUGCUUCUCUGAUGUUAGCGGCGGACGGGUGAGUAACACGUGGAUAACCUACCUAUAAGACUGGGAUAACUUCGGGAAACCGGAGCUAAUACCGGAUAAUAUUUUGAACCGCAUGGUUCAAAAGUGAAAGACGGUCUUGCUGUCACUUAUAGAUGGAUCCGCGCUGCAUUAGCUAGUUGGUAAGGUAACGGCUUACCAAGGCAACGAUGCAUAGCCGACCUGAGAGGGUGAUCGGCCACACUGGAACUGAGACACGGUCCAGACUCCUACGGGAGGCAGCAGUAGGGAAUCUUCCGCAAUGGGCGAAAGCCUGACGGAGCAACGCCGCGUGAGUGAUGAAGGUCUUCGGAUCGUAAAACUCUGUUAUUAGGGAAGAACAUAUGUGUAAGUAACUGUGCACAUCUUGACGGUACCUAAUCAGAAAGCCACGGCUAACUACGU